rnacentral:rRNA from 1 species
UACAGAGACUGCAAGCGUUAUUCGGAUUCACUGGGCGUAAAGGGUGCGCAGGCGGCCAAGUGUGUGAGGCGUGAAAGCCCGGGGCUUAACCCCGGAAUUGCACCUCAAACUACAUGGCUAGAGCAUUGGAGAGGGUAGCGGAAUUCACGGUGUAGCAGUGAAAUGCGUAGAUAUCGUGAGGAACACCAGAGGCGAAGGCGGCUACCUGGACAAUUGCUGACGCUCAGGCACGAAAGCGUGGGGGAGCAAAAGGG